rnacentral:rRNA from 1 species
AUUGAACGCUGGCGGCAGGCCUAACACAUGCAAGUCGAGCGGAUGAAGGGAGCUUGCUCCUGGAUUCAGCGGCGGACGGGUGAGUAAUGCCUAGGAAUCUGCCUGGUAGUGGGGGAUAACGUCCGGACACGGGCGCUAAUACCGCAUACGUCCUGAGGGAGAAAGUGGGGGAUCUUCGGACCUCACGCUAUCAGAUGAGCCUAGGUCGGAUUAGCUAGUUGGUGGGGUAAAGGCCUACCAAGGCGACGAUCCGUAACUGGUCUGAGAGGAUGAUCAGUCACACUGGAACUGAGACACGGUCCAGACUCCUACGGGAGGCAGCAGUGGGGAAUAUUGGACAAUGGGCGAAAGCCUGAUCCAGCCAUGCCGCGUGUGUGAAGAAGGUCUUCGGAUUGUAAAGCACUUUAAGUUGGGAGGAAGGGCAGUAAGUUAAUACCUUGCUGCUUUGACGUUACCAACAGAAGAAGCACCGGCUAACUUCGUG